rnacentral:rRNA from 1 species
UACGUAGGGUGCGAGCGUUGUCCGGAAUUAUUGGGCGUAAAGGGCUCGUAGGCGGUCUGUUGCGUCAGGAGUGAAAACUCGGGGCUUAACCCCGAGCCUGCUUCUGAUACGGGCAGACUAGAGGUAUGCAGGGGAGAACGGAAUUCCUGGUGUAGCGGUGAAAUGCGCAGAUAUCAGGAGGAACACCGGUGGCGAAGGCGGGUUGCUGGGCUGAUACUGACGCUGAGGCGCGAAAGCCAGGGGAGCGAACGGG